GUAAGUGUGGAAAUAUCCCCUAUGAUGUAUAUGUAUCUUUUAGGUGAUACACAGCACUAAGCUGUCAGCCACUUUUGGUAAUUACUGAUUUGCAGUGGAUUUCCAUUGUUAUUUAGAAGUGAAAAUACUUAUCAGCACUUUAAUGAACAUUUGUAACCCUAAUGAACGCUCAUCAAAAUAUCUUUCAUCUUCCAGGGUCCCACAUAUUUGCAAGUGUCCAGGAUGAGUUCUUCACUUAUUUCACAAGCAGGGAUAUCAUUGAUAAAUGGCCUGGCUCAAAUCCUGUAAUGAUGUUCAUAAAAAUUCCAGUCCAGGUAAUUAUUAUUAUUUUUUCUCUAUGUAAUUACGCUGGCAAUUUCAAAUAUGGGAAAUACCUUUUGUUGUUUCCAGUUUCAAAUAUGCGUUUGGGUUACUGUAUGCUAUGAAAUAAUUGCUGUCUCCUACAGUGACUAUCAG
rnacentral:lncRNA from 1 species